rnacentral:pre_miRNA from 1 species
AAAGUACUCCCUCCGUCCCAAAAUUCUUGUCUUAGAUUUGUCUAGAUACGGAUGUAUCAAGUCACAUUUUAGUAUUAGAUACAUCCGUAUCUAGACAAACCUAAGACAAGAAAUUUGGGACAGAGGGAGUAGUUG